rnacentral:pre_miRNA from 1 species
AAUAAGUGCAGUUUUGCGCUAUUCACGUUCAACGUUUGACCAUUCAUUUUAUUUGAAAUUUUUUAUGAUUAGUAUUUUUAUUGCUAUUAGAUGAUAAAACAUAAAUAGUAUUUUAUGUGUGACUAAAUAUUUUUAAAUUUUUUACAAAUUUUUUAAAUAAGACGGACGGUCAAACGUUAGACACGGAUAUCCACGGCUAUACUUAUU